rnacentral:rRNA from 1 species
AUGGAAUUUUCGGUGCGCUCGGCAUAUCAUGCUCUCUGCCAGUCACCUUCCACACCUUGGUUAGCUCCAAUGUGGAAAGCUCCCAUCCCCCUAAAGAUUAAGAUAUUCGUGUGGCAGCUACUGCAAAAUCACCUUCCCUCAGGGACAGAGGUACUUAAGCGGCACGGCCCGGGGAACAGCUUGUGCCCCCUCUACGCGGUACCGGAGACGAGGACGCAUAUCCUAUUCUCUUGUACGGCGGCAAGGGUGAUGUGGACGUUUGUCUACGAGGCACUGGGGCCCGAUUGGGAGGCCCUGGACCUUGUGGGCUUUCUCCAGUAUAUGGCUACCCACCCGUCGCAACAUCACCGCCUCUUUUGGCUAGUUUUUGCAGCGUUGUCUUGGACACUUUGGACGACUCAUAAUAAAUGGUGA